AAGCUAGACUCCUCCGCCACGACCUACUUCAACAAGCUGAAGGUGAUGGCGGACACACUCACCUCUAUCGGUCGACAGCUUAGCGACGAGGAGUUCGCCGGCUUCGUCAUCAAAGGCCUCGACGCUGAGUACGACAAUCUUGCAGAGGCCAUUGACAACGCCAAGCCAGCGAUGCCUCCUCAUGAGCUCUACUCACACCUCCUCUUCACCGAGAAAUGCGUCGAGGCCCGCCGCUCCUCCGCCACCAUCACCGCACAGCCAGCGGCCUUCUAG
rnacentral:rRNA from 1 species